rnacentral:rRNA from 1 species
CAAGUCGAACGGGCAUCUUCGGAUGUCAGUGGCAGACGGGUGAGGAACACGUGGGAACAUGCCCUUCGGUUCGGAAUAACUCAGGGAAACUUGAGCUAAUACCGGAUACGCCCGAGAGGGGAAAGAUUUAUUGCCGAAGGAUUGGCCCGCGUCUGAUUAGCUAGUUGGUGAGGUAACGGCUCACCAAGGCGACGAUCAGUAGCUGGUCUGAGAGGAUGAUCAGCCACAUUGGGACUGAGACACGGCCUAAACUCCUACGGGAGGCAGCAGUGGGGAAUAUUGGACAAUGGGCGAAAGCCUGAUCCAGCCAUGCCGCGUGAGUGAUGAAGGCCUUAGGGUUGUAAAGCUCUUUUAUCCGGGAAGAUAAUGACUGUACCGGAAGAAUAAGCCCCGGCUAACUUCGUGCCAGCAGCCGCGGUAAUACGAAGGGGGCUAGCGUUGCUCGGAAUCACUGGGCGUAAAGGGCGCGUAGGCGGAUGAUUAAGUCGGAGGUGAAAGCCCAGGGCUCAACCCUGGAAUUGCCUUCGAUACUGAUCGUCUCGAGAAUGGAAGAGGUAAGUGGAAUACCGAGUGUAGAGGUGAAAUUCGUAGAUAUUCGGUGGAACACCAGUGGCGAAGGCGACUUACUGGUCCAUUUCUGACGCUGAGGCGCGAAAGCGUGGGGAUCAAACAGGAUUAGAUACCCUGGUAGUCCACGCCGUAAACGAUGAAUGCCAGCCGUUGGGGAGCUUGCUCUUCAGUGGCGCAGCUAACGCUUUAAGCAUUCCGCCUGGGGAGUACGGUCGCAAGAUUAAAACUCAAAGGAAUUGACGG